rnacentral:rRNA from 1 species
ACUAAUGCUGGUGGUAUGCUUAACACAUGCAAGUCGAACGGACUUUAUUGAGCUUGCUCUUUAAAGUUAGUGGCAAACGGGUGAGUAAUGUAUAAGAAUCUACCUAGCAGUAAGGAAUAACUUUGGGAAACUGAAGCUAAUACCAUAUAUUACCGUUUAUUCGGGAAAGAUUUAUCGCUGUUAGAUGAGCUUAUAUCAGAUUAGCUAGUUGGUAGGGUAAUGGCCUACCAAGGCAAUGAUCUGUAACUGGUCUGAGAGGAUGGCCAGUCACACUGGGACUGCGACACGGCCCAGACUCCUACGGGAGGCAGCAGUGGGGAAUAUUGGACAAUGGGCGCAAGCCUGAUCCAGCAAUACCACGUGAAUGAUGAAGGCCUUAGGGUUGUAAAAUUCUUUUAGUAGGGAAGAUAAUGACGGUACCUACAGAAAAAGCACCGGCUAACUUCGUGCCAGCAGCCGCGGUAAUACGAAGGGUGCUAGCAUUGUUCGGAAUCAUUGGGCGUAAAGCGUAUGUAGGCGGCUUAGCAAGUUGGUUGUGAAAUCCCGAGGCUCAACCUCGGAAUUGCAAUCAAAACUGCUUCGCUAGAGUGUAGUAGAGGAUAGUGGAAUUCCUAGUGUAGGGGUGAAAUCCGUAGAUAUUAUGAAGAAUACCAGUGGCGAAGGCGGCCUCCUGGAUCUGUACUGACACUGAGGUGCGAAAGCGUGGGUAGCGAACAGGAUUAGAUACCCUGGUAGUCCACGCCGUAAACGAUGACAACUAGCUGUUGGGAGACAAUGUCUUUCAGUGGCGCAGCUAACGCUUUAAGUUGUCCGCCUGGGGAGUACGGCCGCAAGGCUAAAACUCAAAUGAAUUGACGGGGACCCGCACAAGCGGUGGAGCAUGUGGUUUGAUUCGAUGCAACGCGAAAAACCUUACCUACUCUUGACAUACUUGGAAGCUCUUGUAAUGAGAGUGUGCCUUUUGGAACCAAGAUACAGGUGCUGCAUGGCUGUCGUCAGCCUCCCCUCGUGAGAUGUUCCGUUAAGUUGGAUAACGAGCGCAACCCUUACCCUUAUUUGCCAGCGAUUCGGUCGGGAACUAUAAGGGGACUGCCGGUGAUAAACCGGAGGAAGGUGAGGACGACGUCAAGUCAUCAUGGCCCUUACGAGUAGGGCUACACACGUGCUACAAUGGGGAAUACAGACGGACGCUAAGCCGCGAGGUGGUGCUAAUCCUAGAAAGUUUCUCGUAGUCCGGAUUGGAGUCUGCAACUCGACUCCAUGAAGUCGGAAUCGCUAGUAAUCGCGGAUCAGCAUGCCGCGGUGAAUACGUUCUCGGGUCU